rnacentral:rRNA from 1 species
UACGGGAGGCAGCAGUGGGAAUAUUGGACAAUGGGCGAAAGCCUGAUCCAGCCAUGCCGCGUGUGUGAAGAAGGUCUUCGGAUUGUAAAGCACUUUAAGUUGGGAGGAAGGGCCAUUACCUAAUACGUGAUGGUUUUGACGUUACCGACAGAAUAAGCACCGGCUAACUCUGUGCCAGCAGCCGCGGUAAU